rnacentral:piRNA from 1 species
UACCUGUUGCUGACUACAAGAGAUGAGAGU